rnacentral:lncRNA from 1 species
AAUGCUUUCUCAAAUUUUCUAAAUGCUGAAUUUGAAGGUUAAAGUUGGUAGAUCUAGCUAAAUUAGUAUAAAAUGGGAUGUGGGAUUUGCUAGGUUUUUGUUAAAACACUAGAAAGUUAGCUUCUUUUUGUUGUAUAGAUUUGUUUUAUUUUGUUUGAUUGGUGAGAAAACUAAAGAAAAUGGUGAGAAAACUGAAGAAAAUGGAUUUCAUUAGUUUGC